UAAUACGGAGGAUCCAAGCGUUAUCCGGAUUUAUUGGGUUUAAAGGGUGCGUAGGCGGCCUGUUAAGUCAGGGGUGAAAGACGGUGGCUCAACCAUCGCAGUGCCCUUGAUACUGAUGGGCUUGAAUGGACUAGAGGUAGGCGGAAUGUGACAAGUAGCGGUGAAAUGCAUAGAUAUGUCACAGAACACCGAUUGCGAAGGCAGCUUACUAUGGUCCUAUUGACGCUGAGGCACGAAAGCGUGGGGAUCGAACAGGAUUAGAUACCCUGGUAGUCCACGCCCUAAACGAUGAACACUCGCUGUUGGCGAUACACGGUCAGCGGCUAAGCGAAAGCGUUAAGUGUUCCACCUGGGGAGUACGCCCGCAAGGGUGAAACUCAAAUGAAUUGACGG
rnacentral:rRNA from 1 species